UACGGGGGGGGCAAGCGUUGUUCGGAAUUACUGGGCGUAAAGGGCUCGUAGGCGGCCAACUAAGUCAGGGGUGAAAUCCCAGAGCUCAACUCUGGAACUGCCUUUGAUACUGGGUGUCUUGAGUAUGGAAGAGGUGAGUGGAAUUCCGAGUGUAGAGGUGAAAUUCGUAGAUAUUCGGAGGAACACCAGUGGCGAAGGCGGCUCACUGGUCCAUUACUGACGCUGAGGUGCGAAAGCGUGGGGAGCAAACAGG
rnacentral:rRNA from 1 species